rnacentral:rRNA from 1 species
UACGGGAGGCUGCAGUGGGGAAUAUUGGACAAUGGGCGAAAGCCUGAUCCAGCCAUGCCGCGUGUGUGAAGAAGGCCUUCGGGUUGUAAAGCACUUUCAGUGGGGAAGAAAGCCUUGGGGCUAAUACCCUCGAGGAAGGACAUCACCCACAGAAGAAGCACCGGCUAACUCCGUGCCAGCAGCCGCGGUAAUACGGAGGGUGCGAGCGUUAAUCGGAAUUACUGGGCGUAAAGCGCGCGUAGGCGGUCUGAUAAGCCGGUUGUGAAAGCCCCGGGCUCAACCUGGGAACGGCAUCCGGAACUGUCAGGCUAGAGUGCAGGAGAGGAAGGUAGAAUUCCCGGUGUAGCGGUGAAAUGCGUAGAGAUCGGGAGGAAUACCAGUGGCGAAGGCGGCCUUCUGGACUGACACUGACGCUGAGGUGCGAAAGCGUGGGUAGCAAACAGGAUUAGAUACCCGAGUAGUC